GUGAGUUAGAGUUGAGUGAGGUAGAGUUAUGGCAGAGUGAGGUAGAGUUAUGGCAGAGUGAGGUAGAGUUAGAGUAGAGUGAGGUAGAGUUAUGGCAGAGUGAGGUAGAGUUAUGGCAGAGUGAGGUAGAGUUAGAGUAGAGUGAGGUAGAGUUAUGGCAGAGUGAGGUAGAGUUAUGGCAGAGUGAGGUAGAGUUAUGGCAGAGUGAGGUAGAGUUAUGGCAGUGUGAGGUAGAGUUAUGGCAGUGUGAGGUAGAGUUAGAGUAGAGUGAGGCA